CUAGGCUGUGGAUCAUGGCUGCUUCUCUAGCCUGGGCCCUGGAAUGGAAUACAAGCUGUUGGGAACCAAGAGGAGAGUCAUUGAGACUGGACAAGUCAGGAUGAAUCCGGAGGAGCUCAAUCACACCUAGUAGGGUCUCUCACUAGGAAAUGGAGCUUGUGAUUAGGCCAGGCUGACCAGCAGGUGAGCUCCAGGGAUCAGCGUCUCCCACCUCUUCAGGGCCACAGUUAGAGUCACAUGAAACAGAACAAGAGAUCACUGGCUUCUGUCUUUUUGAUCUUUCGUGAAGCCGAAGUCUUGAGUAAGUAAGUCAGGUGGAUGGAAUUGUUGUAACGAGUCCUAAAA
rnacentral:lncRNA from 1 species